rnacentral:rRNA from 1 species
GAUGAACGCUGGCGGCGUGCCUAAUACAUGCAAGUCGAGCGAACGGACGAGAAGCUUGCUUCUCUGAUGUUAGCGGCGGACGGGUGAGUAACACGUGGAUAACCUACCUAUAAGACUGGGAUAACUUCGGGAAAGCGGAGCUAAUACCGGAUAAUAUUUUGAACCGCAUGGUUCAAAAGUGAAAGACGGUCUUGCUGUCACUUAUAGAUGGAUCCGCGCUGCAUGAGCUAGUUGGUAAGGUAACGGCUUACCAAGGCAACGAUGCAUAUCCGACCUGAUAGGGUGGUCGCCCACACUGGAACUGAGCCGCGGACAUUACUCCUACGGGAGGCAGCAGUAGCGAAUCUUCCGCAAUGGGCGAAAUCCUGACGGAGCAGCGCCGCGUGAUUGAUGAAGGUCUUCGGUUCGUAAAACUCUGUUAUUGGGGAAGAACAUAUGUGUAAGUAACUGUGCACUUCUUGACGGUACCUAAUCAGGAAGCCACGGCUAACUACGUG